AGAUUGAACGCUGGCGGCGUGCCUAACACAUGCAAGUCGAGCGGUAACAGGUGUAGCAAUACAUGCUGACGAGCGGCGAACGGGUGAGUAAUGCUUUGGAAUCUUCCCAGUAGUGGGGAAUAACCAGUCGAAAGAUUGGCUAAUACCGCAUACGUCUGUAAAGGGAAAGCGGGGGCUCGUAAGACCUCGCGCUAUUGGAUGAGCCAAAGUCGGAUUAGCUUGUUGGUGGGGUAAUGGCCUACCAAGGCGACAAUCCGUAGCUGGUCUGAGAGGACGACCAGCCACACCGGAACUGAGACACGGUCCGGACACCUACGGGUGGCAGCAGUUUCGAAUCAUUCACAAUGGGCGAAAGCCUGAUGGUGCGACGCCGCGUGAGGGAUGGAAGGUCUUCGGAUUGUAAACCUCUGUCACUAGGGAAGAAACGCUUCAGGUUAAUAUCCUGAAGCCUGACUUAACCCGGAGAGGAAGCAGUGGCUAACUCUGUGCCAGCAGCCG
rnacentral:rRNA from 1 species